UACGGAGGGUGCAAGCGUUAUCCGGAUUCACUGGGUUUAAAGGGUGCGUAGGUGGGCUUGUAAGUCAGCGGUGAAAUCUCCGGGCUUAACCCGGAAACUGCCAUUGAUACUAUAAGUCUUGAAUUAUCUGGAGGUGAGCGGAAUAUGUCAUGUAGCGGUGAAAUGCUUAGAUAUGACAUAGAACACCAAUUGCGAAGGCAGCUCACUACGGAUCGAUUGACACUGAGGCACGAAAAGCGUGGGGAUCAAACAGG
rnacentral:rRNA from 1 species